ACGUCCCUGCCCUUUGUACACACCGCCCGUCGCUACUACCGAUUGAAUGGCUUAGUGAGACUCUCGGAUUAGGGCUAAGGAAUCGGAAACGGUUUCUUUUUCUCGAGAAGUUUGUCAAACUUGGUCAUUUAGAGGAAGUAAAAGUCGUAACAAGGUUUCCGUAGGUGAACCUGCGGAAGGAUCAUUAGAAUAUUCAAGAAUCUAUUUUCCUAAUACUUUAUUCAAAAAUUUUCAAUCUAUAAAUUUUUUUUUUUUUUUAAGAUAUUAAAAGAUAACUUUCAACAACGGAUCUCUUGGCUCUUGCAUCGAUGAAGAACGCAGCGAAAUGCGAUACGUAAUGUGAAUUGCAGAAUUCAGUGAAUCAUCGAAUCUUUGAACGCAUAUUGCACUCUCUGGUAUUCCGGAGAGUAUGCCUGUUUCAGUAUCAAUAAAACCUCGAACCCCUUCUCUCUCUCACUUGGGCUUGGGAAGGAAAUCGGAAAUGGGUCAUUUUGAACACCUUUUUUUGGUGUUCUAGCCUGAAAUACAAUCGCGAUCUGGGAGCCAUUUGGAAGGCGUCAUAGUUGGCCGUCAGGUCAUCUUUCGCCGAAAUCCUUUUGUGUUCCAUAUUGAUUGCGCGCCACAUUUUUUUUUUUAAAUUGAUCUGAAAUCAGGUAGGAUUACCCGCUGAACUUAAGCAUAUCAAUAAGCGGAGGAAAAGAAACUAACAAGGAUUCCCUUAGUAACGGCGAGUGAAGCGGGAAAAGCUCAAAUUUGGAAUCUGACGUCUUUUCGGCGUACGAGUUGUAAACUAGAGAGGCGUUUUCGGCGGGCGCCUGGGUAUAAGUCCUCUGGAACUGGGCAUCAUAGAGGGUGAGAAUCCCGUCUUUGACCCGGAGCAGCCUGCUAUGUGAUACGUCUUCAAAGAGUCGGUUUGUUUGGGAAUGCAGACCAAAAUGGGUGGUAAAUUCCAUCUAAAGCUAAAUACAGGCGAGAGACCGAUAGCGAACAAGUACCGUGAGGGAAAGAUGAAAAGUACUUUGAAAAGAGAGUUAAACAGUACGUGAAAUUGUUGAAAGGGAAACGAUUGAAGUCAGUCAUGCUAGUGAGGAAUCAACUUGGUGGUUUACUUCUUUGUGCAUUUUCUCGCUUGGCAGGUUAGCAUCAAUUUUGGUUGUCAUCAAAGAAUUGGGGGAAUGUGGCUUUUCUUCGGUAAAGUGUUAUAGACUCUGAUUGAUGUGGCGACUGGGAUUGAGGUUUGCAGCGGAUGCCUCUUGUGGCUAGUCACCUGUCUUCUGACCGUCACCUCGUUUUUGACAGCUUGCUGAUGAUUGCGGGAUUUGGCGAUCUAGGAGUUAGAGUGAAUAUAAAUUCGCUAAGGAUGCUGACGUAAUGGCUUUAAACGACCCGUCUUGAAACACGG
rnacentral:rRNA from 1 species